CACCAGCAUCUGUUUCAAGAUCACCAAAAGCUCUGGAUUGUGCUGCUCCUUGAGACAGAAGUCCUUCAGAUAUCUUGGAACACCUGCAAUGGCAGUUUUCCAAAGCGGCCCUAUGCCGGAGCAAUCCAUGCUGAACAAUAAGAUAAUCACUCAAAGAGUCACAAACUUCGCUACUGAGACGGCUAGCAAAGACAGGUCCAUAGGCUACCUUGACGUAUUUGUGCACCAGGCACGCGAUAUCCACAACGUCUGCAUCUAUCACAAGCAGGAUGUGUAUGCAAAGCUGUGCCUCACAAGCGACCCAGACAUCUCAUACUCGACUAAAGUGAUAAAUGGUGGUGGGCGCAACCUGGUGUUUGAGCACGGUCUAAGGCUCGAUGUGCGCACUGUGGAGGCUUCGCUGAAAUGCGAGGUGUGGAUGUUGAGUAGGGUGAAGAACUACCUAGAGGAUCAGCUUCUUGGCUUUGCUCUUAUUCCUCUUGCAGACAUCCUGAUGGCCGAUGGAAGGCUGGUCCAGGAGUUCUUCAUGUCAUCGACGGACCUGUUCCACUCACCAGCUGGAUUUGUGCACCUGGCCUUGUCUUAUGCUGGUUAUUCUCCAGAUGUCAUCGAAAUAUCAUCGCCCAAUAGGUCAGUGUCUGUGGUGACUGAUUCUGGAAAUGACAGCUUAGAUCCUUGUGAGCUCGAAAAGAUCAAAUUCCCGGACUUGAAUAUGGUGACUGAGAAUCAGAUUAUGGCCUCCCAAGUAUUUUGAGAUGGAAACCUUGGACUCUGAGAAUGAAGUGAAGGCCGAGAACUGCAAAUUGCUGCGACAUGAUCCAGUUGGUACUGAAAUCUGUACAAAGAGUCUUCAGGAACAUAAGGACGAAAGCCCUCUUAGUUGUGUCUCAACAAUGAACUCCUCUGCAGCCCUUACUGCCUCGCAGCAAUCGGUUUCUAAGUGGUCUGAGGCCACCAUUGCGGCAUCCUCCACCGAAAGCCAGAAGGAGAAUAGCCAGGGUGUUAUUGAUGGCGAGGCUGAUUCUUCUGAAGCGCCACCCAAGGAUGAGGCUGUCAAGCCUAUGAUCGGCGUGAACCUCCAACCUGGGGACUCAGUUGUCCAACAGGACAUAGUUGACAUGUACAUGAAGAGCAUGCAGCAGUUCACCGACUCCCUUGCGAAAAUGAAGCUCCCCUUGGACGUCAAGAACAGCAGUCCCUCAGCUGAUCAUAGCACUGACUCGAGUACAACUGAGAAGCUGUCGACACCCAAGGGUUCUAGGGUCACAGAGCCUUCUUCUGAGUUUGCUGAUGCUGACUAUGCUCGUACAUACUCCUUUCGUAUUUGCUGAUGUAGUUUGGGCUCUCUCGACAAUAGGUGUUGCUAAUGAUGUUAAUGCUUAUUUAUAAGACGAAGAUUUUGUAAUAAUUUCAUCAGAGGUGUAGAUUCACCUUGUGUAUUACCUUUAUCUUUACUCUUGUAAAAGAGUCAGCGGUAGUUGCACUUUGUCACCUCCCCGUUUACUUCGAUUGUAAAAAAAACGUCCUCCCACUAUUUUGUAAACAAUAGCCCCUCCUUUCAAUGUACACUAAUUUUAUUGCAAAA